CUCUGGUGGUUAGGACUUGUGGGUGCCAUACUUUUAGUCAUCGUCCUCACUCUGGGGAUUAUAUACAUGCAGAUCAGGAACAAGGGAGGCGUGUAUCUAGUGGACAAACGGGAGCGCCAGGCCGGACACGAUCCUGUGAAAGAGUUAGCCGAGGAAAACAAGAUGCAGGAACUAAACCGCUCGGAUGAAAACGAUGACAUCAACGACUACCAAGAGUAAUAAAUCUGCCCAAAAGGCCCACGUUACCACGACAUAUAUCGUUUAUGUGUCGCAAAAAUGAUACAUAUAAAAUCUGUUGAGUCCACCAACGUCUAAGGGACUAGAUUUCACACAGAAACAGAUGUUGUCAGUUUGCAGUCGAAACACGCACUUGUCCACAUUUGAUCUCCUCUCACUUUGCAAGUCGCUGUUUGCGUCUGAGAUACAUUCCAUUGUUCCUUUGUCUUCUCCACUAUGUGUGACCAAGGGGAGGUGCAUUGCGCUGGCGUGCUAACCACCUCGGAGGCCCCUUAACGAAAUGGAUAGUUGUCAUAUCAAAACGUUUCUUCUGACCUUAUAUCAUGAUUUUUUUCUACUAAUUCACAUGUUUUAAUGUUUAUUGUACUUUUUUCGUUGCAAGCCGUGAAUCCACAUAAAACUCCGGGGAGUUUUUGUUGUUCCUUGCUUAUGCUUUCUGCAAAUAUCCACGUAUUGAU